UCUGGGCCGACAGGGAGCAAGAGCGUGCUUAGGGGCAAAGUCCCAUUGUCUCAUGCUGUUCUCCAGUCCCAAGAUGGCGGCCACCAUGAAGACGACGGCUGCAGAAGAUGUCAAUGUUACUUUCGAAGAGCAACAGAAGAUAAACAAAUUUGCAUGGAAGACAAGUAGAAUCACAGAGCUGAAGGAAGAAAUAGAAGUAAAACAGAAACAACUCCAAAACGUAGAAGAUGCUUGUGAUGGUACCAUGCUUGCAGAUGCUGACUGCUUAAUGAUGCCUUAUCAAAUCGGUGAUGUCUUCAUUAGCCAUUCUCAAGAAGAAACACAGGAAACGUUAGAAGCAGCAAAUAAAACUUUGCAAGAAGCAAGUGACGCCUUAGAAUCCAAAGUCGAAGCAAUUCAGUGGCUGUGAGCAGAUUUGAAAGUUCAGUUGUACGCAACAUUUGGGAGCAGCAUAAACCUUG